rnacentral:rRNA from 1 species
GAUGAACGCUGGCGGCGUGCCUAAUACAUGCAAGUCGAGCGAACAGACGAGGAGCUUGCUCCUCUGACGUUAGCGGCGGACGGAUGAGUAACACGUGGAUAACCUACCUAUAAGACUGGGAUAACUUCGGGAAACCGGAGCUAAUACCGGAUAAUAUAUUGAACCGCAUGGUUCAAUAGUGAAAGACGGUUUUGCUGUCACUUAUAGAUGGAUCCGCGCCGCAUUAGCUAGUUGGUAAGGUAACGGCUUACCAAGGCAACGAUGCGUAGCCGACCUGAGAGGGUGAUCGGCCACACUGGAACUGAGACACGGUCCAGACUCCUACGGGAGGCAGCAGUAGGGAAUCUUCCGCAAUGGGCGAAAGCUUGACGGAGCAACGCCGCAUGAGUGAUGAAGGUCUUCGGAUCGUAAAACUCUGUUAUUAGGGAAGAACAAAUGUGUAAGUAACUAUGCACGUCUUGACGGUACCUAAUCAGAAAGCCACGGCUAACUACGUG